rnacentral:tRNA from 1 species
UUCCUGGCGGCUCAGAGGUCAAAGCGUCUGCCUGCAAUGCGGGAGACCUGGGUUCAAUCCCUGGCUCGGAAA